rfam:Parcubacteria bacterium GW2011_GWA2_37_10 TS35_C0034, whole genome shotgun sequence.
GCCCUCGUGGUGAAACUGGAUAUCACAUUUGGCUUCGAACCAAAAGUCUGCAGGUCCGAAUCCUGCCGAGGGCA